AUGGGAGAAACGCAGAGACAGGAGAGGGGGCAGUCAGAUCCACUACCCAGCACCAUCUUUUUGACGGAAUCCAGGCCAAGGUGGGAGACCGAUGAGGCCGUACCUUUGAUAAGCGCGUCCUCUAAUGAAGCGGCUACUAUCCUCGCGGCGCGAGCCGGCGGCAGAGGAGUAGGCGGAGCCGCGGCAGGCGGCAGCGACGCGUCGGGCUCAGGGGUUGCUGCUAGUAGUGGCCGACUGCGUCGGCUAAGGCGGAAGCACACCGCACUUGGGCUGCAUCGUCGCGCCAGGGCGCCCUCCUCCGCCGUCGCGGCCAGGGCGCCCUCGUCGCCCACCAGGACCAGCCUGUGUGUGUGCGCGCGCGCUUAG
rnacentral:rRNA from 1 species